UAUACAAGCAACACUCCUGACCUACCUUCUGCCCAAGCUCAGACUACCAGGGCUUGCCACCUCUUCCCUUACUCUGAGUUGGUUAUUUUUUUUUACUGUGUGAACUAUCCCCCUUGCUUUGUCCCAGGUAGCACAGUGCUUUGGAAAGGUGCUGGACUGGCAACCUUUGGGAAUGAAGUUCACGUUCUCUUUUAUCUGCUGACAUCAGUUCUAGUGACAAUAGGAUCCAUUGGUGACACUCCACACCUUCCCGAAUGUGCCUCUUCUCUGACCAGGAGAGAAGUCCUGUAUAAGGGAGAUGUUUCCAUCUCCAUUCAUUCUCAGUGCCCUUUCAAGUCUUUGUUAAAACUCAUAAAUAGGUGUGUCACCUGGUGCUAGUGGCUACUUGAUUUUAUAGAUUAAUAUUAACUUUCAUCCAUCAGAAUGCACUAGCUAAAGUAUACAAGAUAAACUCAGCAUCUAGAUGCAAUGAAAUUCAAAUACAUGGGCCAAAAUGGACCAAAAGGACUUUCAUUAUCCAGAGGCUUUAACUCUGACACCUACCUCAUUCUCAGAUACUCUGAAAGACCGACACCCCUAAAGUACAUCCAGAAGACUUUUAGGCAUGAAAGGGAAAGAAACACCUUUCACAGCUGCAUACCUUGGACCAAGAAUCGGUCAACCUACUGGGUUCAACCUACUUGAU